rnacentral:rRNA from 1 species
AUACGGAGGGAGCUAGCGUUGUUCGGAAUUACUGGGCGUAAAGCGUGCGUAGGCGGUGACUCAAGUCAGAGGUGAAAGCCUGGAGCUCAACUCCAGAACUGCCUUUGAAACUAGGUCGCUAGAAUCUGGGAGAGGUGAGUGGAAUUCCGAGUGUAGAGGUGAAAUUCGUAGAUAUUCGGAAGAACACCAGUGGCGAAGGCGGCUCACUGGACCAGAAUUGACGCUGAGGCACGAAAGCGUGGGGAGCAAACAGGAUUAGAUACCCUGGUAGUCCACGCCGUAAACGAUGAUAACUAGCUGCCAGGGCUCUUAGAGCUUUGGUGGCGCAGCUAACGCAUUAAGUUAUCCGCCUGGGGAGUACGGUCGCAAGAUUAAA